GACGAACGCUGGCGGCGUGCCUAACACAUGCAAGUCGAACGGAACGGUCCUGCCUUUGUGCGCUGCUCGAGUGGCGAACGGGUGAGUAACACGUGAGUACCCUGCCCCUGACUUUGGGAUAACUUCAGGAAACUGGGGCUAAUACCGGAUAGGAGCUCUUGCUGUAUGGUGGGGGCUGGAAAGUUUAGGCGGUUGGGGAUGGACUGGCGGCUUAUCGGCUUGUUGGUGGGGUAGUGGCUUACCAUGGCCUUGCCGGGUAGCCGGCCUGGGAGGGUGAGCGGCCAAAUUGGGACUGAAAUACGGCCCGGACUCGUACGGGAGGGGACGGUGGGGAAUGUUGUAGUAGGUGCGGGAGCCUGGUGCAGCAACGCCACGUGCGGGAAGACAGCAGUCGGGUUGGAGUCCGCUUCUGCCUGUCACGAGACGUUAAUGACAGUAAUGGGAAAAGAAGCACCGGCUAACUACGUG
rnacentral:rRNA from 1 species